GACGAACGCUGGCGGCGUGCUUAACACAUGCAAGUCGAACGGGCCUGUCUUCUUUUUUGGGGGUGGGUUGAGUGGCGAACGGGUGAGUAUCACGUGAGUAACCUGCCCUUCGGUCCUGGAUAACCGCUUGAAAGGGCGGCUAAUACGGGGUGGUCCGGUUGGUCCGCAUGGGCUGGUCGGGAUAGAUUCACUGUUUUUGGUGUUUCGGCGGGGGAUGGGCUCGCGGCCUAUCAGCUUGUUGGUGGGGUGAUGGCCUACCAAGGCGGUGACGGGUAGCCGGCCUGAGAGGGUGGGCGGCCACACUGGGACUGAGAUACGGCCCAGACUCCUGCGGGAGGCAGCAGUGGGGGGUAUUGCACAAUGGGCGGAAGCCUGAUGCAGCGACGUCGCGUGAGGGAUGGAGGCCUUCGGGUUGUGAACCUCUGUUUCCGGUGGUGAAGGCCCUGUCCGUGUGGUGGGGUUGACAGUAGCCGGGGAUGAAGCGCCGGCUAACUACGUG
rnacentral:rRNA from 1 species